rnacentral:rRNA from 1 species
UACGGAGGGGGCGAGCGUUAUUCGGAAUUAUUGGGCGUAAAGGGCGCGUAGGCGGCCCGGUAAGUCAAAGGUGAAAUCCCUCGGCUCAACUGAGGACUGCCUUUGAAACUGUCGGGCUUGAGGCCGGGAGGGGGUAGCGGAAUUCCCAGUGUAGCGGGUGAAAUGGCGUAGAUACUGGGAAGGAACACCAGUGGCGAAGGCGG